UACGAAGGGGGCUAGCGUUGUUCGGAAUUACUGGGCGUAAAGGGCGCGUAGGCGGUUUUGUAAGUCAGAUGUGAAAGCCCCGGGCUCAACCCGGGAAUAGCAUUUGAUACUGCGAGGCUUGAGUCCGGGAGAGGAUGGCGGAAUUCCCAGUGUAGAGGUGAAAUUCGUAGAUAUUGGGAAGAACACCGGUGGCGAAGGCGGCCAUCUGGACCGGUACUGACGCUGGGACGCGAUAGCAUCGGGAGCAAACAGG
rnacentral:rRNA from 1 species